rnacentral:rRNA from 1 species
UACAGAGGGGGCAAGCGUUGUUCGGAAUUACUGGGCGUAAAGCGUGCGCAGGCGGUUUUGUAAGCCAGAUGUGAAAUCCCCGGGCUUAACCUGGGAAUGGCAUUUGGGACUGCAAGGCUUGAGUGCGGCAGAGGAGACUGGAAUUCCCGGUGUAGCAGUGGAAAUGCGUAGAUAAUCGGGAGGAAUACCGGAUGGCGAAGGCAGGUCUCUGGGCUGACACUGACGCUCAUGCACGAAAGCGUGGGGAGCAA